ACCACCAGUGCUGCGGUAACAACCACCCAGGCACCCACAACUGCUGCGGUAACAACCACCCAGGCACCCACAACUGCUGCGGUAACAACCACCCAGGCACCCACGACUACCAGAACUGCUACUACGGAAGCUGAAACAACAACGAUCGGUACAGGCCCCACAUCUGACAGUACUGUGUGUCCGACGGGCUGGUCUUACGGCUUUCAAGGAAGUUGCUAUAAGUUUAUAUUCAGUGAGUCCCACACGUGGGAUUAUAGACGGCAGUGUAUUGACAGCGGGGGGUAUCUGAACGUAAUCAACGUACAAGAAGAAAAGGAUCAUGUCAACGAUAUUAUUACGUUCAACAGUACAGCAUCCUCAGCCAACGUAUUGUGUGG